UUCUGUAGUCAUAGUCACCCACCGUUUGUCCACAUUAAACUUAUGAAACUUGUAAUGUAAUGUCUAGACUUAAGACAAACAACAUUGCCACCAUCUUACCAACUUCAUAGCAUUGGCAGCAGCGGCACGUCACGUGCACAGUAAAAAAGUCUUCUACUAGGGGAGAGUGGUAAAUGGUGGUUCGCGACCAUUGUGAGCACGACCAUUGUGUUAUACUUCAUAUUUUAAUUUAAAUUAAAUAAUACAUGACAAUAUAGCAGGCCAUAUGUGAGAGAGAACGAUUGUGGUAUCUUCAUAAUAUUCUGACCUUUCAAGACAGUAGCGCGAAAAGGAGCAGAAGACAUUCUGUGGCUUUUCUGGCAAAUGUAUUGGAUUGGGUGUUCAGGGCCAUUCCGAGGAGGCAUAAGCCCGAUGAACAACAGCAGCUGAGCUGGUGCAGGAGUUGGACAACAGUUUGCAAGUAGGCCUAAAGUCAAGGAAAGGCUGCUUUAAAGAUGGACUUUGAAAUUCAUAUUGGACACAGUAUUGAUUAGACUGCGCAAGACAUUUGCAGAUGCCAGGGUGACAGAGUGAGACCAAGAGCAGAAUCAGGCCUAACACACCCACACACUCUAAUACUAAAAAUGCUAUGCUCAAGUCGUUAGCACAAAAGAGAGGAACAUUGAAAUGAGAGAAGAACAGAGGAAUAGAACUGAAAGACACUGACGGAUAAAAAGGCAUUGGGAAUAGAGAGAAACACAGGGAGCCUGAACGAGAGGUGAACGAGGAGGAAUGUAGAUGAGAAAAGAUGGAGUUCUCCAAACCAGACGGAGUCACUCAGACCGCUCUCUCAUGGAAUCUCACAAAACAGGAAAGUGGUUAUUGAUUUGACUCCUACAUGCAAGUCAGCAAAACAAAUCGGCUGAAUGACCGACUGCUCUCUCUCCCAUCUUGCUGUGAGGAACCCUGAGGGACCCCUCUCAUUAACUCAGCUAAUUUAGUCCCGCUCCCCACCAGAGUGUUACAGAUCUAUGCACAGUACAAUACAAAAGUGAGAGGGUCUUUCCCCCUUCCCACUACUAAGAGAAGUGAAAAAUGAAUUGGACCUGCGGAAAAGGCUGUGGUGAGUAAGACUGAAAACCUUGUUAUUGAAGAGUCAGGAAGCAGAAAGGACUUCAGCACACCGAGAAUCAAAUCCAUUUUGUGCAGCUAAUGUUGCUCAUUAAGCAAAUGUAAAACAUAUAUUUUAGUUUAAUGCAUGAUUUAUUCUAAGUUCUGGCCAGAAGAGGUUGUAUUUGUGGAGUUUUCAGUCAGCCAAUGACUCAUUUCAAAUGACUCACCCAGCCUCAACUAAGGCACUGAGGCUGUGAAGAAAUCAGUCUGUGCACAGGAUUAAACAAAAUCACAAAUUCUCUACAAGAAGUGAAAAUAAGGCUGGAGGCUGUUGUUAGAAACUAUAGGGAGAAGUCAUGUAAAAUAUUUGGGACUCAGCAGUUACUUCAAAAGCCAAAGCCCAUCCCAUGCACUGUAAUUACACAGCACUACACACAGUAUAACAGAAAUGACUCAAAUGUCAACAGUACCAGAGAAAUUCAUUUAGCUGAUUUUCUGUCAGUAUCUGUCCAUGAGUUUUACUGUCCUCGUCUAUGAAUUGUUGAAGUUGUUGUUGUUGUUGUUGUUGAAUUGUCUACUGUGAGGAAACCUCCAAGUGGCUUCUCCAAAUGUUCCAGAGGAGUACGCCACGCAGCACUACAGCCCACUGUGUUAAUGGCGAGAGGGGGACAUGGCAGGAUGUCAGCGUGUGACAGGAAGAAUGACCUCACUCCCUUGGAUAUUUGACCGUGAGGAACAGGACUGCCAUUGCAACCUUUGACCAAAAGAUGUCUCCCUCACCUUUCUCAUCUCACUUUUCCAGAAACCAUGUGAAGUAUUCACAGAAUUUACACAGUAUUCAUACGAAUGAAUAUGUGGCAUGUAGUUGCAGUUACAAUUUCUUUUGUCCUCAGAUCCCUGUACAGUUGUUUCCAUGGUGCACUAUUACUUUUUCUUAGUGGUCACAACAAUACAUAGCAAUGUAGCACAUAGGGCUAUGCUUUCUAUGACAUGCUAUGCACAUGUUGAUAACGUCACACACACACAAACCAAUGCUAAUUUACUAGGCAAAAUUAUUUUGUCAACUUAUACCACGAUCAUAACCUUGCAUUCAACAGUUCUUCGUAGCCUAAUUGAAUUCCUUUGAAGUUACCCCUUUUCAUAUAACUUCUUUAAAAAAAAUGACUACAAACAUAAGACAGGAAUUCUGCAACACUACAAUUCUUGGUCACUCUUUCUUAAGUUAGUCUGGAAGUUGGUUGAUUUAUGAUUUUAUGGUAAUCUGAUAGAUGAUUUUGGUUUCUGACCUGCUGCCUGUUCAGCUAAAGUGAUUAAGAAAAAGGUAAAAAAAAUACAAACUCUAUGAGUUGACCAGAGAAUUGGAGGCUUUGGGCGUCCACCUUGAUGAGGACAGUAACAAGAAGAAAAAGAAAAGCAAAAGGCAGAUAAAGCGGGCACUCCAAAAGCUUCACAUUAGUGAACUACAGAAGGUACAGUUGGACAAAGCCAAUGGGCCAGUGAGAGCUGAAGAAGCGGAUAGAUGGCCUGUACUGCCCAUGGAGGCAAGAUGAAAAGAAAAUAGAUGAUACUAUAGGUGAUACAUCAAGUAAAAGUUGAUGAAAACGGUGAUGCCAUUGAUGGAAAACACAGUAUCCUGGACAAAGUGGAGAACACGCUGAGAACAUUCCAUCUGACAGAUGAUGACGCUGCUGAGGUAGAGAACCCCCAAAGGCUGAGGGUGGAGAGAGAGCAGGAGGAGAGGGACAAAGUGCCCUUGGAUGGAGCAAAGGCAGCGGACAUCGCCAUCCAGGGCCAGGAACUUACCCAGUGUAAGACAAAAUAAACAUUGGGGAAGAGUGCUACAUCAUGCAUGUCAUUUAAAAAAAAAAAAAAACGUAGUAUGGCUAGUAUGUUCUAAUGACAAGACGCACCCAGGAUGUUUGGAAGUGGAAAAGGAAAAAGUGCUAAGGCUAAGGCCCACAAACUAUUCUUCAUAUCUUUGCUCUUGUGGAUGUUUGUUUAUUUUUCUUGUCACAGAAACACUUCGAUAAAAGUAAGUCCACUUUGACUUGUACUGUGAAAGUUGUACAAUGAGCAUCAGCCCACUUUAAUACUCUUCUGUCCAAAUUUGUCCCAAUGAGACUGAUGGGUGAUUCUCAUGAAGCUAUAGUUAACAUGUCCGGGUCCUAUUUUCUGAAAACAAUAUUUUAUUAAUAAUAACUAUGAUAUUUUCUACAAAGACAGUAAAGAAUACUAUAGGGACAGAUGUUUUUAUUAUCAUUUUAACAGUAUUUUGAUAGUAAUUUAAACA